rnacentral:rRNA from 1 species
UACAGAGGGGGCAAGCGUUAUUCGGAAUUAUUGGGCGUAAAGGGCGCGUAGGCGGCCUGACAAGUGGAAGGUGAAAUCCCUCGGCUCAACUGAGGAACUGCCCUCCAAACUGUUUGGCUUGAGACCGGAAGAGGCGAGUGGAAUUCCUGGUGUAGCGGUGAAAUGCGCAGAUAUCAGGAGGAACACCAAUUGCGAAGGCAGCUCGCUGGGACGUUACUGACGCUGAGACGCGAAAGCGUGGGGAGCAAACAGG